AUGGUGGUUCAGAAGGUGCCACAAGUGGUAAGGCAAUCAGAGGUUCAGUCUAGUGGUACACAUGAAUCUACAUGGGUAAAACCACCACCUGGCUGGGUGAAACUGAAUGUUGAUGGGUCACAUAUCCCUGGCGAGUGUACUGGAGGUGCGGGCAUGGUCUUGAGGGAUGACACGGGUGCCAUCAUCUUCUCGUCGUGUCGGUUUCUUCGAUCAUGCCACACAUCAAUGGAGGCGGAAAUAGCAGCGUGUCUCGAGGGCACGUCCCUGGCGCUGCAGCGUACAGAGAAACCCAUAAUUGUGGAACUAGACUGUAAAGAAGGAGUGGUAGCUUUGACAGACAGCGGAGUUAACAGGUCUUCGUUGGCCGGGUUUAUCGAGGAGACGAAGAGGCUAUUGCAUGGAGUACAGCGUCAUGUUUUUGCCCACGUCCGACGCACGGCCAACAUGGCCGCGCAUUGCAUGGCUCAAAGAGGACGUACUAGCCAACGUACUAUGGUUUGGCUGCAAGCUGGGCCUGAUGAUUUAUGUUCUAUUUGUGAAAACGAAUGUACAAACAUUACUUAA
rnacentral:rRNA from 1 species